UACGUAGGGGGCAAGCGUUGUCCGGAUUUAUUGGGCGUAAAGAGCGUGUAGGCGGCUUUACAGGUCCGUUGUGAAAACUCGAGGCUCAACCUCGAGACGCCGGUGGAAACCGUAAAGCUAGAGUCCGGAAGAGGAGAGUGGAAUUCCUGGUGUAGCGGUGAAAUGCGCAGAUAUCAGGAGGAACACCCGUGGCGAAAGCGGCGCUCUGGGCCGGAACUGACGCUGAGGAGCGAAAGCGUGGGUAGCAAACAGG
rnacentral:rRNA from 1 species